rnacentral:rRNA from 1 species
UACGUAGGGGGCAAGCGUUGUCCGGAUUUACUGGGCGUAAAGAGCGCGUAGGCGGAAGCUUAAGUGUGGCCUGAAAGCCCCCGGCUCAACCGGGGAAGGUGGCUGCAAACUGGGCUUCUUGAGGGGGAGAGGGGAAAGUGGAAUUCCGGGUGUAGCGGUGAAAUGCGCAGAGAUCGGGAGGAACACCCGUAGCGAAGGCGGCACUCUGGGCCGGUACUGACGCUGAGGAGCGAAAGCGUGGGGAGCAAACAGG